rnacentral:rRNA from 1 species
GACGAACGCUGGCGGCGUGCCUAAUGCAUGCAAGUCGCACGCAGGGUGCUUGCACUCUGAGUGGCGCACGGCUGAGGAUCACGUGGGAACAUGCCUCCUUGUGGGGGACAACAGCGCGAAAGCGCUGCUAAUCCCGCAUACGCUCGGCAACGAGGAAAGCGGUAACGCGCAGGGAGAGUGGCCCGCGGCCCAUCAGGUCGUUGGUGGGGUAAGGCCUACCAAGCCGGUGACGGGUAGCUGGUCUGUGAGGACAGCCAGCCAGACUGGGACUGAGACACGGCCCAGACUCCUACGGGAGGCAGCAGCAAGGAAUUUUCGCAAUGGGCGCAAGCCUGAACGAGCAACGCCGCGUGGAGGAUGAC